AAGAAAGGAUAUUGGGGCUGGGUGCAGUGGCUCACGCCUGUAAUUCCAGCACUUUGGGAGGCUGAGGCGGGCGGAUCACUUAAGGUCAGGAGUUCAAGACCAGCCUGGCCAACAUAGUGAAACUCUGUCCCUACUAGAAAUACAAAAAUUAGCCAGGCAUGGUGGCGCAUGUCUGUAAUCCCAGCUACUCAAGAGGCUGAGACAGGAGAAUCUCUUGAACCCGGGAGGUGGAGGUUGCAGUGAGCUGAGAUUGCACCACUGCACUCCAGCCUGGGCAACAGAGUAAGACUCUGCCUCAAAAAACAAAAAAAAAAAAAAAAGAAAAAGAAAGAGGAUAUUGGAAUAAACAGCUAAUAUGCACCUUUGGGAGCUGCUUUUUGAAAUAUUGGUUCUUGAAAUUCGAAAUGAGUCCCAUGACUAUCCUCAUAGAGUGGCCAAGUUUCCAGAAAACAGAAAUCGAAACAGAUACAGAGAUGUAAGCCCAUAUGAUCACAGUCGUGUUAAACUGCAAAAUGCUGAGAAUGAUUAUAUUAAUGCCAGUUUAGUUGACAUA
rnacentral:sRNA from 1 species